UUGCACAACUUGUUUGAUUACAAACUCAUGCUGCAAAGGUCUUGGGGCAUAUCUUAUACAAAUUAGCAACAAGAAAGCAUAUAUUCGUUGAAAUAUAUGUCGCAGCAGUUGUGUCCGCUUUAAACAAUCCCCGUUUUUACCCGGAAGCGACUUCCUGGUUUGGCACAUCUGCACUUGUUCCAUCAAAAUGCCUGAGGGACCCGAACUCCACUUGGCCAGCCUGUAUGUCAACAAAAUGUGCGAUGGAAUGGUCUUUGGUGGAACGGUUAUAAAAUCUGAAGUCAGCAAAUGUCCAGAAGUGGCCUUCACCUGUGAUUCAUACCGCAUCACAGCCACUUCCAGAGGGAAGGAAGUGAAGCUGACUUUAACGCCCAUGAAGAGUGACGAUGAUGGGAACCGGCGAUCGAAAGGUGGACAAGCAGAUCAACAUAUGGACAUAGUCUUUCGCUUCGGGAUGUCGGGUUAUUUCCGCUUUACGUCAGAAGAAGAAGUUCCUAAACAUGCCCAUCUACGUUUCUACACUAAGGAGAAGCCUCGCAGAGUGCUGAGCUUUGUAGACACACGAAGGUUUGGCAGCUGGCAACCCAAUGGAACCUGGCAGCCUGACAGAGGGCCCUGCAUCAUGUUUGAGUACAAGAGUUUCAGGGAGAAUGUCUUGUCUCAUCUGAGCGAUCGGGCUUUUGAUCGCCCGAUUUGUGAGGUCCUGCUGAACCAAAAGUACUUCAAUGGUAUUGGGAACUAUUUGAGAGCUGAAAUCCUGUACAGGUUGAAUAUCCCACCGUUUGUGUGUGCGAGGGACGUACUGGAAGGCCUUCAGUUAGAGGAUGAAUUUGAGAACGGGAAGCCAGUGAAAGACGAGAUCGCAGACACAAAGACUCCAGAGAGGGCUAAAAAGAAAGCAAUUAAACGGGAGGCAGGGGAUGUCCUCAGACUUUGUCAUACAGUUCCUCUGGAGGUCGUCAACUUAGGCGGUAAGGGCUACGACCCUGAGAAGAUGGACUACUCUGCCUUUGAGGCAUGGCUGCGGUGUUAUUAUGUUGAUGGAAUGAAAUCAGUUUGGGACCACAAUGGCAGAACAAUGUGGUUUAAGGCGAGUAAAUGGGACAAUUUAGUGGUAUUUUUUAGAAUGAAGUUUCAAAUUAUUGUAAAAAUUAAAGAUUCUGCUCUGUUCCAGGGAGACCCAGGGCCCAUGGCACCCAAAGACCAGAUACAGGGGAAAGCAUUGCAAAAUCUGAAUGAAAAUAUGGAAAUCCCUUUAAAUUGCAUUCUAAAACACAAGAGGACUGACUGACUGGAGACAGAGCCUUAACAAUAGAGCUUAAAGUUGAAAGUAUUGAAGGAAAAUCCACAAUCACUUGAGUCUAAAAUUUACGUUUACAUUGUAAAACAGAAAAAAUCUAGGUAUAGGUAUAUCAAGGUAAAUUAGAAUAAUACUAUAAAGUAAGUUUAUUUCAGUUAUUUAUUUCAAACAGUGAAACAUACUCACACAGUGUGUUUCAAGUGUUCAUUUUUGGGCAUUGUGAUUAUUAUUGAUGAUUACACCUAAAGAAAUUCCUAGAUUCAGUUUCACUUAUUAGAAUAUUAUAUACGACUAAAAACACAAAGACAUUUGUAAAAUAGAUAUGUCAGCCUGUUUAAAAGUAUAUCAAUAAACUGUAUAGUACAUGUACUCAAUACUUGGUCGCAGCUCCUUUUUGCAUGAAGUACUGCAUCACUGCAGUGUGGAAUGGAGUCAGUCUGCCUGCAACACUGAUGAAAUGUUAAAAAAGCACUGUCCUGACUUGGGACUUGAUGAAAUAAAGUGGACCAACAUCAGCAGAUGACAGUCAUCUAUGGGAGCUUCACACCAGUAACUCAGAUUUCAGGCUUCUUCACUUUUCUUGUAGAAUCUGGUCGCUUUACUUAGAGAAUGUUGGUUCCACAGAGCAGAACAGUCCUUUUUCACAUCGUCUGCUUCUGAUUAAGAAGUUCCUGAACACAAGGAAUGUGCAGGUGUAGCAUUUGUUCUGGAAUUUGUCUGUGUGUUUUAGGCCUCCGGAAGUCUGCAGUCAAAAUAUUUUGAGCCUUCCUGAAACUCUUCAAUGGGCUUUAGUGCUUUUUCUGUUAAGGCUGCAGUUCCCCCUGUGUUUCCAUACGCCCUUUUUAUCCACUUUUUCUGCCACUUUCUUUCCCAGCACUCCAUAAGAAGCCAACUUGUUUUGUAAUGGAGUGCUUGUGAUUGUCGACUGGACAACUGUCAAAGUCAAUCCCAUAAAAGACUUCAGAUUUGACAGGCCAUAUUAUAAUAUUUCAGUAUUUUUCUAUAGUAAUCUUUUCUGAAAAAAGUAAACUUUGAGUUUCUUCUUAGCCAUAAACAGUAAACUAUGUAACCAUAAAUCAAAUGGAUAAACACUUGAAUUAUGAGUGAUUUAUUUAUUGACUUACUGAAAUAAAUUAACUUCAGAUCCUUUCAAUUUUAAAAUUCUCCUAAAAAUGUCAUCAUUGAUGAUAAAGGUAUGCAUGCAGGACAUAUACAGUGAAUACACAGGUGGAAAUGACAGUUUUGACACUUUGCUCCCACCAUCAGUAGAAAGGUGCAACAAAAAAAUUUCAGGAUUAUCCCACCGCUGAGUGUAGAGCAUUAACUUUUGUUCAGGAAAGGCGAAUUAACUCAAGUUUUAACAACAAACAGGAUCUCAGUCUGAUUGAAAUAUGGGCUAAAGUGUAAGAAAAACAAACAAAAAAGAUGCAUAAUGAGGCUCCGUCCUGCAAAGCUUAUCUGUUAUCUGCAGCACAAGAGGAUUGCAACUGGAGGAAAUCCCUUUACAUUAGUAAAUCAAUGCUUAAUAGGAAAGCCAGUCUCAAAUUUUUACUAUAAGGGACAAUCUACAGUCACUUUAUUCGAGUAUUGUUUUUGUGCUCUAUUUUAAAAUGCCAGAAUAUGCAGUUAUGAAAAUGAACUACUUAUGGGCAUUAUUUAUGAUUAUAUAUUUGUUGCAAAGUAGCUGAUUAUAUAUUUGUAGCAAAGUAUACAUUUGCUGCAAAGAAAUUACAGAAUAAUCAUUCUGUAAUUUCUACCAAAGAGGCUGAGUAAGUGUAACAACUGAAUCAUUCAUAACUCGCUUUUUCCCCCUCUGAAGAUUCAAAAUCACCCAAGAUAAAAAAGAGAGCAAAGAAAGAUGAUGACCAUGAUUAUACAGACAAGAAAAAGGUGGCCAAAAGCAUGAAAGAGAGCACAAC